UAGACAUAUGAUCAGAAUGUGUUAUGAACCAAAGUUUAUGACUAAUCCAGUUUAGUAAAAAUGAGAUGCCUGCA
rnacentral:snoRNA from 1 species